rnacentral:rRNA from 1 species
AUGACACUGUUGCCUGCUGACUAUGUGCAGGACUACCUGGCUGGACCUCUAUCUCAAUGUCAGAAAAUUAGGAACCUGAAGGGAAAAUGGAAGGCGCCUUUGAUGGACAUUCAGCCCGGAGGGGAACAUCAAAUCUCAUAUGAUUUUGCCCUUGUUUGUGCAGAGUACAAGGAUGAUCCCUACAUCUAUACUUUUGAUAUGCUGAAGCACAUUGGCAUUGAGCCAAGGCAGUGCGGUGGUGGCGGGUACAGGCGCAGCGCGAUGACCUUUCGGCGCACCGGCUCUAGGAUGACCAGGGGCUUGGUAGCUGGGUCCGACAUCCCUAUGGUGGACAGAGCUGAUGGCGUAUGGAAGUGGCCGGUGGUGGGCAGGGAACAAUGUGGCCCCGUCGUCGUCCUCUUCGUUCAGCUUGACAUGACCGUUGUUCAGCUGAAGACAAGAUUACAUGGGGACGAUUAA